GCCAGCAACAAGUUUAUUCACAGAACUUAAGUGAAGAAAGACAAAAUUCAAGAAUAGAAAAUGCCCGAUUGAGACAACGCGUGAAGACACGAAGAUCAUUGGAAAUUUAGAUAUUGGACAAAUGACGACUAUAUGCCGAUAUUGCAAUGCGUUGAAGUUCAAAAGAGAAACGGCUGGGUUGUGCUGCACAAGUGGAAAAGUCAAACCAUCCGGAUCCAUUACUUACACCAUCACAGCCACUGAAACCAAUGUUUGAUGGAAGUGAUCCCGAUUCUAGCCAUUUUCUUCAACACAUCCUUGAAUACAAUAACUGCUUUCGCAUGACUUCCUUUGGAGCUAAUAUCAUUCGAGAAGACGGAUUCAUGCCGACUUACAAGAUACAAGGACAAAUAUAUCAUUUGCAUGGUUCAAUGGUGCCAAGACGAGAUGAACCGCAUCAAUUUCUGCAAAUAUAUUUCAUUUCGUCGAUGGUGGAUCAGCUGAAUGUGCAGUACAAUAUAUCUACAGGGAACACAACAGUUAAAGAGACGAAUUAUUGAACAGUUACAAGCAUUUUUUCACACUAAUAAUGCUGUGGUUAAUAUGUUCAAAACAGCAUUGGAACGAAUGCCAUCGGAUACGCACAAAUUUGUCAUAAGAGCGGAUUGUACCCCAACAGGUGAACAUGUGCGAAGAUUCAAUGCACCAACCGUUAAUGAUGUUGCUGCAAUUAUUGUUGGCGAUCCAACUAAAUCGCGAGACAUUGUCGUUCAGCGAAGAAGCAAUAUCAUGCAUCGUGUAAACAAGACACAUCGUUUGUACGAUGCGUUACAAUAUCCAAUCAUUUAUUGGCAAGGGCAGGACGGAUACGACAUCACGUUGAAGAUGGUCGAUCCAAUUACAGGCGUAUCAACGAAUAAAAAUCUAAGCGCAAUGAAUUACUAUGCAUAUCGUAUGAUGAUUCAUACAAAUGAGGAGAAUGUCAUUCUGAAGUGCCGUCGUUCCAGCAAUUCGCUGCCAAUAUGUAUAUCAAAGUCGAGACCGAACGUUUAGCGUUCAUCCGAUUCAAUCAGGCAAAAUUACGAUCUAAGGACUACACACACUUGCGUGAUGCUAUUCAUUCAGAUGGUGAUGUUCAGAAUAUUGUACUUAUGACGAUUCUCCUCUCAUCAUCUUAUAUCGGAAGCCCGCGCCACAUGCACGAAUACGCUCAAGACGCUAUGACGUACGUGCGAAAUUAUGGAACCCCGGAUUUAUUUAUUACGUUAACAUGCAAUCCGAAGUGGACGGAAAGUGAACGUGAGUUGGAACCGGGCCAAAAACCGCAAGAUCGCCAUGACAUAAUCGCCAGAGUAUUUCAACAGAAUCUAAAGGUUAUGAUGGAUGUGCUGAAAUGUAAUUCUUCCUUUUCAAAUAUAAAACAAAAAAAAAUGUUCUUUAUCUUUUAAUCAGCAAACGAAAUGUUACAUAAAAGUAUGUAAUUUGGUGGCAAAACGGAGUUCGCCGGGUUUUCUAGUUGGCAAUAUUUGUUAUGUAAUUGAAAUUGUGUGGAUUUCUUUCUUUACAAUGUAUAAAACUAAGUGAGUCUAAGAGCCAUAGUACAUAGAAAUUGAUAGGAUACCAAAUUUUUAUAGUAAAGCGUUCGAUUUCUUUAAACAAUGAAAGAUGAGGUCUUACUCCAAUUUUUGAAUUAUAAAGUUUUGCAACGCCCGUAAUUGUUUUCCUACUUUUGAUCUGACAAAUUUUGAGAGUAUGAAAUGUUCGGUUGCACCCUUAAUUAGUCCUUCUUUACUUGUUCUUAUUUUUUUUCUUCACCUGAAAAAUGCGAGUAUUGCGUCUUGCUGUGGUGAAGGUAUGAACGCUUGCUUAUUACCAGCGCGAUUAAGUGGCACAUUUUUGUCGCAAAUGAUGUGUUAAAUUGUCCGGUAAAAUGCACAAGAUGCCAUAACAAUAAAACAAAAUAUAUAUAUGUACACAGUUAUACCCAUACAGGAUGCAAAGUAGGUAUACAUGCAACACACAUAGGUUUUCACUACGCUCGCAAAGAACUUCAGUUUCGCCCAAGAAAUUUACGAUUUUAAUGUCACGCAUACACCAUGGUGCACCUAAAUCUAUAGCUUUAUAUACUUUAUCUCUCUUUAUUUUCACGUAUGUGCGUUUUGAGUGCUUUUACGAAAUAAUUGCUUAUAUUCCUUAGGAAAUAUUCGUUUUAUUGUCACUUAUGCGGCGCUUAAAGCUUAAAAGCCUAUGCUCUUAAUAAACAUAAAUCGUAUAAGUUGCGUAUAUGACAUGUGUUCCUCUUAGCAACACAUAUGCCAAAUUUUUUUUGGAAAUUUCUUCUAACAAAGUAUGACAUGCUAGUUUAAGAUGCUGAAAAUAAAAAUAUACGAUAUAAAAAUAAUUUAAGUUUCAUCUAAGGCGAAAUAAAAAGCUUAAGUUCGUCUCAGUGGAGUACGACCUUCAUUUUAUAUUAUAACCUUUGUUUAUUUUUUAAUUGAAGGUAACUAAAAAUAAAACUCAGAACGAAUAAUCAAUUAUUCAGUAAUAUUCAGUGAAUAAGGUAGCGUAUACGACGUGGUGAAUGUAAUUGUCCCAAAAUAGUGCCAGUUGGAUGUAAAAGGCAUUGGAACACUUCUGGCGUACGUUAAAAAAUCAAAAAGAUUAUUUGAAAAAGCUUAUGGAAUGUGAAAGAAAUCAAUUUAAAUUGCUUUGGAGCUAAUAUAAUAAUAUUUAACUCCAUUUUAGACGUAAGUUAUGUAUUCGAAAUUGUCAAACAGAAAAAUAAAAUUCCUUCAAGCAAAUUGCCGCGCAAAAUACAUAUAAAGAAAUACUACAAAA